CACGGCGGUUGGUCCCGGCGGGGGAAGGAGAAAGUGAGACUCGGUGUCAUCACCAAUCCGUCGCCAGAAGGGGAGGAAACUGGAAUCCAGCAGCGGCGAGCAGCAGCUGGGCGGUCACAUCUGGAAAUGGAAAGCCGACCUCCCCCUCCUCCUCCACCUCUUCCUCCUCCUCCUCCUCCUCCUCUCACCCAGGAUCACUUCCGAAACCACUUGGCCUUCAGCCCCUGCCUCGGCCAGAGGUUUCAUUUUUAACUGAAUAUUUACGAAAGCUGAAAGCGUGCGAGGGGGGUGGGGUGGAAAUAGCGGCUGCUUCUUUUCCAAGGAUUUAUUUAAUGGGGAUGUGUUCAAGGCAAGACCGAAUUCAGAAGGAUAUCGACGUCGUGAUCCAGAAGUCCAGAGCUGAGGACUGCCUGUUUGCAGAUUUCAGGUACUCAGACUCCACCUUUACUUUUACCUAUGUUGGCGGCCCCAGAAGCUAAACAAGCACUGGCCUUGAGAUAAGCAAUGCUGAAGCACUUGCAGCUCACCUAUUACCAUAAACUGACUGAGCCCUCCCUACACAAGCCGUAACUACUGCUUUGAUUGGACAAGAGACUGAUUUCAGUAGUUUUCUCUUGAUAAGAGACCACUGGCCGUGGGCGGGUUCUGGACAGUUUACAGAAGCUAUGCACUUGAUUGCCUUUGUGUCCCUGCUUCACCUUUUGAAGCAUAGGGCCUAAUUAUAAUGUAUUUAAAUGUUGUCUCCACCCCAAAGUGAACAUGGGUUGCAUGUAACAGGCAUGUUUACUCAGCAUGCAUGCAGCAGGAUCCCUUCACAAAUAUUCAGAGCUCCCCCUAUUCCCUGUUGAAUAUGUAUAUGUGGCCAGCCAGAUCAACGUAAAUCACUAUUCGCCCUCCCCUCCCUGGAAACCUACUUUUCGGGUUUCAGCAGGAAGCUAUGCCUCCCAGUCUGUCAGAAUGGCCACUUGCAGGCUGUAACCCUUUAUAAAAAAAUAAAAUCUCCUUUCUAAAUUUA
rnacentral:lncRNA from 1 species